rnacentral:rRNA from 1 species
CGUGAGGGAUGAAGGCCUUCGGGUUGUGAACCCCUUUCAGCAGGGACGAAGCGAAAGUGACGGUACCUGCAGAAGAAGCACCGGCCAACUACGUGC